GACGAACGCUGGCGGCGUGCUUAACACAUGCAAGUCGAACGGUAAGGCCCUUCGGGGUACACGAGUGACGAACGGGUGAGUAACACGUGGGUGAUCUGCCCUGCACUUCGGGAUAAGCCUGGGAAACUGUGUCUAAUACCGGAUAGGACCACUGCCUGCAUGGGUGGUGGUGGAAAGCUUUUGCGGUGUGGGAUGGGCCCGCGGCCUAUCAGCUUGUUGGUGGGGUGAUGGCCUACCAAGGCGACGACGGGUAGCCGGCCUGAGAGGGUGACCGGCCGAACUGGGACUGAGAUACGGCCCAGACUCCUACGGGAGGCAGCAGUGGGGAAUAUUGCACAAUGGGCGCAAGCCUGAUGCAGCGACGCCGCGUGAGGGAUGACGGCCUUCGGGUUGUAAACCUCUUUCAGCACCGACGAAGCGCAAGUGACGGUAGGUGCAGAAGAAGGACCGGCCAACUACGUGCCAGCAGCCGCAGUAA
rnacentral:rRNA from 1 species